UUGAGGGGGAGGAAGCCGUGGUAUACGGCAGGAGCGAAACACUUUUAUAGAUGCAUUUGUUCAUCGAUUUCUAUUUCAAUUUUAAACAUAGUAGUCUUGAUAGACUUCUUUUGGCAUCAUCUGGAGCAAAUUGUCUGCACAGAUAUAAUAUGUCUUCGAGUCAGCCUGCAUCACAGGCGAGCGCUGGAGCCAACAGCUUGGGCUACAGCCCCAGUGGAAUCAGGUCCGACAGCCGCGCACCCUCUUCAAUUGCGACGCCGAAGGUUUACGCCCCAUCUGCCUCAAAGAUACCGUCCACGGGGAGCAAGGGCAAAAACUCUGGAGGCGGUGGCGGGCGUAGGAAGUAGACUGGACAUUCGGGACCGGUCUGGAGAUCUAGUUGAUCGAGGCCAACUUAUUGAGGUCCACGUAAUUGUAGUGACAGACAGAUUUGAAGGAGGAAUCGCUAGCUGUUCAAAUUUU